GGAUGGAUGACAGCUGACUAAAGGGAAGAGAUGGAGAAAGGGGCUUCAUAGAGGCUGGAGCAUAGUAAAUCCCAAAGUACUGUUGCAACAAGUAACUGGGAAGGAAAACCAAAAAUCAAAAUUUAUAGAUUAAAGACAAGCAGUGUCUCUCGAAAGCAUCAGAGAAGUGGAUCAGAAGUAACAUUCUUCCUAACCUCAAUGGAAAGCAAGAGAAAGAAAGUGAGGCGAGCCCAAAGCAGGGGGCAGACCAUUCAUCCCUAAAGGCAACACACACAUCGACGACGACAACAGCAGAGCUUUGAAAAGAGCCAGGUUUCCGAAGCAGGCAUCAUAUGCGCAGCAGACUAGUAGCCAGCAGCAGCAUCAAGUGCGCCCUGCCCUCCAUUCCCCACCCAAGCAUUUGUCAUCCACAGACAGGGACUGAGACUUCCAGAACAUGUGAUGCGAGUGAAGCAGGGAAUGGCAAGGAUACAAAACAACAUACUCCCACAUAAACAAGUUGAAAGAGUGAAGACUGAUGAACAGCGGCACUCAAUUUUUUGACACCGUUAUUUGGACAUUUUGUGGCAUUUUGUAGCCUGUGGCACCCCAACGCAGCAAUAAAAUGAUGCAACAACUCAC